UACAGAGGUCCCAAGCGUUACUGAGAAUCACUGGGUUUAAAGGGUGCGUAGGUGGUCCGUUAAGUCAGUUGUGAAAUCCCCGGGCUCAACCCGGGAACUGCUUCUGAUACUGGCGGACUUGAGGCCAGUAGGGGUCACUAGAACUGACGGUGGAGCGGUGAAAUGCGUAGAUAUCGUCAGGAAUGCCCGGUGGUGAAGACGGGGUGACUGGGCUGGUUCUGACACUGAGGCACGAAAGCGUGGGGAGCGAACGGG
rnacentral:rRNA from 1 species